GCCGCUUUCUGACUGUAACGCUUCACAUUUGUCCCCUGGGCGAAGUCGAGGUGCAACCUUCCAGGAAUGGAGAGGCUCGAAACGGGAUCCGCGGAGGAGCCGAGGGCUGGGGGUGGCAGCGAUCGCCACCAUGUGUGCCGAGGAAAGUAUUCGCACGCCGCUCGGACCUCGACACGCCGCCAGGACGCCUGGCCAAUGUGUCGCGCGAGAUGCGACAAUGAGAUGGAGGAAGACUUCACUUCGUUUGGAGCAGAAACGCUAGGAGAGAAUUAACCCAUGGGAGCAGUGAUCAUCACCAUUGACUUCACCUUGAUCAACUUCACACAAUGCAGAAUUUGCAGCAGGAUAAAGCAUCUGUAUGUAAGCAUUCUUCCUGCGUCCAGCCUGCCGGGGGUGUUUCUUUCUCUUUUCUUUUUUCUUUCUUUCUUUUUUUUUUUUUUUUAUUUCUGAGAGCCGAGCGGAGCCGAGCAUGAAAGUGACUUCCUCGAUCGUCUCUGCAGCCCGCGGCGUCUGCUCAAUCUCUGCGCUGCCAUGAUGGACUCGAGGGUCACGACUCGCUUCCUCCUGGAAACUCGCCUUUACUGAGAGGAGUCUUAAGAUGGAAGAAGCUGUGAGCUCCAGCAGCUGCAGACUGAAGCAGGAUUUGCUCUUCGUCCCGGAGGUCCACCUCAGAGCGACGGGGAGCGAUUAGCUGCAGCAGCUUGGGCCAAGGCGGAGGAUAUUUAACCUGCGAGGCUGCCAUGUAUUAUUUCCUGCAGCUGUGAUCAGUAUCUACGUGUGGUGGGAUGAAUGCGCCGGAUGCUGCAGGUCAUGUGAUGGCAGCUUAAAAAUCACUGGGACAGAUGGUGAAGCUCCUACUUCAGGUGGCGUCAGUUCAGGAGCGGGAAGAUUAAAAGAUGCCAUUCUGCUGAUCUCAGUCCACAUCCAUCCGUCUACGAGCCCAAAUCUCCCUCGAAGGCCGCCGGGACGAGCCGCCGUCCUCGCAGCCUCGAACCUCCGCAGGUCAGCCGCCGCCUGAACCGUCUCGUCUCGUCUCGCAGGUCGAGCGGCGCCUGACGAGGAACAUCUGCCCGCCAAAAAUCCUCAAGCUGCCACGGAGACGACGACACCAACAGUCGCCGGGAAAAUCUCUCUGCGGUGAGAACAUUCUGCAUUCGCCACCGGUGACUUCAUCCUGGCCGGACCUUUCCGUGACGAUCAGGCGUGGUGAAGCAGCGCCUCCAUGUGACUCCCUCUGCCGAGUCCCAGCAGGGGCUGCCGAGGCCCCGCCCACCCCGACUCGGUUCCAGCCAAUCAGGUGCUAAUGUUGGGGAACAGGAGAGGGCUGCGCUGACAGAUGGCGGACUGACCUGGAAAACCUGCCCCCUUUUUCAGGGUUCAGCAGUCAGCAGAUGACAGGGACGUCGCCGCAUGUGUUGGAAAUCCAGUUUCCACUUCAUCUUGAUACCUGAGGGACGGAUCUGCAGGUGAGGCGUGCGGCGGUCAGGCCAAAGCGAAGGAGAAACGAAAAAUCCUCCCGCACCCCUUGCUCGUCCCUCCAUCUCCACAUUGUUAUUUGUCCAUUUCAAAUUAUUGAUCUUUUACAAAUAUUUUUCAAGGUAUCUUAAUUACUCGCAAAAGAAGCGGCGCCUUGGCCGGCGGACAACACAAAUAAGUUAAUUUGCAUUUCUGUGUUGUGAGUGUUUUGGCAGGCGCCGCGCCGGUCCAGAUUGUAACCCCUAUUUCUGCCUCCAAAAACCUGCCUUGGAGGAGCGUCCACGGAGGGAUUAGGGAUUUAGUGGGGAAGGUAAGUGUGACUACAAGCUUUGGCUCGCCAUCUGCUCCCCAGCAGAGUUGAGGCCAACCUGUGCAGCCUGCAGCAAAGACCUGGGCACUGUGCUAACUCUGGCUCGAGCCAACCUGGCGCCCGCGGCCCCAAUCACCAACAGUCUGCUGAUUAGUUGUAAGAAGCACUCCAUAUGUAGCAAAGUUUUUUUUUCUUCCUCCUCCUCUCUUUCUGUCUGUCUCCUUCCCUUCCUUCCUCUCCUCCUUAUGUAUUCUCUCAUUAAAUAAAUAUGGAUGUAUGGAAUCUCUCUUUUUUUUUUAAAUCGCCUUCGGUUGUCUGGCAAAACAACUCCCUCUCACCUCUGACAGAAUACCAAGCCAGGGAAGAGAAAAAGAAGAUGAAGAAGCACAAAUCCUGGCUGUCCUCCUCCUCUUCUUCUUCUUCUUCUUUUUCCUUCCCUCCCCGGCUCUCUUUUUGCCUGGCAGCGCCGGGAGACAGAUGACAGGGGUUUGUGGCCGUCUGAUCACCCCUGGGUGGGUAUUUUCUAAUUUAUUUAACGGCAGCUUAUUAAAGAAAAAACAAGAUGAAGAAGAAGAGGAGGAGGAAGGAGAAUAAAGAACACAGGAGGAAGAAGGCAGGUCUCUCGCCCCGGCGGCCAGCGGAGUGAACCCAGCCAAAGAAGAACCAACGAAGAAGAAGAGGAAGAGGAGGAGGAGGAUGCAGCGACUCCCUUGGUGGAGAUACCCGAGAAGAUCAAACGACACCGGAGGAGUCACAGGGAAAGAAAAGGAGGGAAAAAACACCAGAAACAUAAUGCUCAUUAUUAAAUUGCAGCCAUUGCCGUUGCCAGGAACCUAUUUCUCAGUAUUAAUUAUUCAUAUUUUAUUUCAGUAAUCCAAUACUCAGGUGAGAGCAGCGGCCUGUGAUAGAACAUGUAAUUUUGAAGCUUAAUGGCAGCGGGGCGGCCCGAGCGCUGGGAUUAGAAACAGAGUAUAAAUCACUAAUGGCUGCGUGGACGUACGGCGGCUUGAAUCCGUCUUGCUUUGUGUUUACUUGUGUUUUAUUGCAGGGAGAUGCUCCGAGGGAAACACUUGGCCACGACCUUUCUCCUGAACCCGCGACGAAGGGGAGGGGAGACAAAUAAAAAAUCGUGCUUUCCAAGGCAAAAUAAGACAGCGUAAUUUCCUGAUUUGUCUAAACAAAGAGUCCAUCAGCAUCCUGCUCGCUCUCUUUCUUCCUUUCUUUCUGUCUGGUUUGAAUAUACAGAAAGCGAGCAGAGGAGGAGGUCUGACAUAUUUGCAAAUGCACACAUGGCCUGAUUCAUACAAAUUAUGUUUUUCAAGCGGAAUAGCACCAUCACUUACUUCUGAUCCGAUUAGCCGGAUCCUGUUCCCCUCCUCAAAUUCAUCUUCUCGCCGAAAACACUUCAUGAUAAUAACAGUUUAUGGAGUUGCAGGAAUUUGGGGAAGCUUAUAAACAUACAGUGUUUUUGUCAGCUAACUGUAAAGGCCCGAGGCUGUGCUUUCUUUUUUUUUUUUUUUUUUAAUUUUACGCUCUCACAUAAAUGUCUCUGUCAUCUGGUUUACCAUCGCUCUCAGACUUACCAUCCAUAUUCUCUGCUCUGCCAAUAAUACACCAGCGUUGUCCAAAGUCAGACAGAUAAAGUGUCAAAAAAGUCAUUUGUUUAAAGAAGAAGUAAUCAUUUUUGUGAUGAGAAGGGCUGACAGCACUCCCAGCAGCUAGUUAGCUUAGCUUAGCAUAAAGUCUGGAAACAUGGAGAAACAGCUAGCUUCACUUUGUUUAAAGGCACGAAUAAUGAAAGUUGUGGUUUUAUAUGUUGGAGUUUUAUGUAUUUUUUUUCUUGUUUGCGUUAAACAUCGGAUGUAUUGUUAAUUUGUGGUUUCUGAAGGCCCUCGUAGGUGAAUUUUUGUCACUUUUGCUGUAGAGUUUCAGCGCACAUUGAGUACGAUUGUAACUGCUAUGAAAAUCAGCACAUUUAAGUCUACUGGAAACUGGUUGGUUGAGUUUUUCAGGAACUUGUUGAUCAUGUACAGUAAAAUAAAGCAUAGAAAUGGACGGAUGGGUUAAGUGAGGCAUCGACAGUAAUGCAGACGUUGAACUGGACCAUCAUGGUGAAUGCAGAGCUCUUUAUUCCAACCUGGCUGGUGACCUCUUGUGUUGCAGAUUAAAUGGUUUGAAAUGUGUUUGAAGUUAAGAUGUUGCUCUUUUGCCUUGCUGAGGUGGUUCAGCAUCUGUUAAGGAUGUGUCACGGAUGUCCUCCUGUUAGGAGUUACAGUCAGUUCCACAAACAUUUGGACAUUGACACCAUUUUCAGCAUUUGGGCUCUGUGCACCACCACAUAGAUUCGAAAUUAAACAACCAAGAUGUACUUUAAGUGCAGAUUUUCAGCUUUAUUAGAAGGUAUUUACGUCCAAAUCAGGUCAAUGGUAAAGGAAUUAUAACCCUUUUUAUAUGUGCCUUCCACCUUUUUAAGGGACCAGAAAUAGUUGGACAAACUAAUAAUCAUAAAUCAAAUUGUCACUUUUAAUAUUUGGUUGAAAAUCCUUUGCAGUCAAUGACAACCUUCAAUCUGGAACCCAUAGACAUGACUAGAUGAUAGAUUAUGCAUUUCCCCUACAGUUUAGCCUUCAGCAAGUGAAAUGGGUUUGAAACUUGUUAGUGUCCAAACAUUUAUUAGCCUGGCGGUAUAUUGAGAACUGCAUAGGUGGCAUAUCUCAUCUGACCCAGGAACAUGCCCGAAGAGUAACUGGAAAGUGUUGCAGAGGAGAAGAAAGUGUAGAAUUUCCUGGUUAGCCGCCUGUUAAUGCAGCCCAAAAUCAGAUAAUCAAGAAAAUGGAAGAAUGGUUGCCAUUAAUCAUAUUUGCCUGUAUUUUUUUUUUUUUUUGUCUGAUUUGAAUACAGUACAGCAGGUUGCAGACUUUUACAGUUUGGGUGUUUUUACAGUCAACAUGUAAAGUCUUUUUUUAACAUGAUUUUAUUAGAUGGUAUCUGUAAUUAAACAAAACAGUGAACCAUUUUUCAAUCCUUAAUAUGCCUUUUCCUUUCAAAUGAAAUCAAAUAGAGGAAUGGCAUGGCUCAGUGGGUGGAGUGGCCGUCUUGAAACUGGAAGGUUGCCGGUUUGAUCCUCGGCCCAUUGAGCUUAUGUCGAGGUGUCCCUGAGCAAGACACCAAACCCCUAAUUGCUCCUGGUGGGUCAUGGUUAGUGCCUUGCAUGGCAGCUUCCGCCAUCAGUGUGUGAAUGGGUGAAUGUGAUGUAUCAUGUAAAGCGCUUUGGAUAAAAGUGCUACAUAAAUACUACUAUUUAAAUAUUUGUAAAAUAAUAUUUUGCAGGUUUAAAUGCAGGUAAAACACUGCAAUUUCAAGAUCAAAUAUUGUAAAUAAAAUAAAUAAAUUUUGGAAAAUUGGGAAUUUUGAUAGUCCCUUUACAAAAAACAUUUAAAAAAUCUGAUCUUCUAAAUGGAUUUUUUUUUUUCAUUUUUUGGGGGAAAUUAUUUUCGGGGUUACUACUUUUCUUUAGUGAUUUACAUUGUUUCUCUUUUUCUCUCUGUUUUUUUCUCUUAUUUAAAUUCAGUAAAACACUGUAAUUUAAACGUAAAGCACUGUAAAAGAAUCAGUUAGCAUUUUUUUUAUUUUUUGAUGUAGACAUUCUUUUUGGUUUUUGUCAUUUUUGGGGUAAACAUCGUUUGUUCUGUAUUACAACAAUAAAUUGGUUGCAAAAGAUUGUUUUUUUUUGUUUUUGUUUUUUUGCAGUGAAAGUAUCAGUCAAGACUGUCAGACUAGUAGGAGGUCCAGAACAGGCAAAGGAAGGGGAGUUUUUUUUUUUUUUUUUAGAAAGAUAAGAAAAAACAUGUUUCUGAAAUCUGAUUUACUUCGUAGAUGGCUGCAAACACCCGCACUCGUGGUGAAUGUAGACUUUCAAUAAACCUCCAGUAAAACUUCAAAACGUGGUCCGGAUUCCUGACAGGUGAACAGUGUUUAGCCUCACAAGAAAAAAGCCAAUUAGGUCAGAGAAUAUGCACACAUCUUGCAUGCUCUCUGGUCUCCCGCAAUUUGGGCUAAAAAAAAAAAGUAAAGGUCAGCCACGUUAGUCAGAUUGCGCUCGACAAAUUCUAAAAAGGCUCGCUGGUCACGCUGAAUGUAUUCCCUGCAACAUAAUUAGCCCCUCAAUUCCCCGUCGUGCCAGGCUACCGGGUGUCUCCAAAAGCCCCACCCCUUCCCCCAAAAUGUCUUUCACCUCUGCUUGCUCUGCAGCGAUGCCCCUCUCCUCUCUGCCUCCUUCCUCUCGCCACCCUGUCACACAUUGUUGCUGCACUAAACUUGCUGCAGAUGCGGUCGGCUGAUGCAUAAAUUAGUCAUCAACAUUAGCAUUAGCCGGCGCGUGGCACCCGGUGCCAACUGCUCUCCGAACGGCCAUAAAAGGUCAUGUUUUGAUGACUGAAUGCCACACAGGCACCUUGGCUCCCCGGAGGAGGGUUCCCCAGGUGCACGUGAAAGGUUAAAAAUUACCUUCCCGCCGCCGCCUGUCUGUGGCGAAGGAAAUAAUUAGGGGGUUUUUAGGGAGCGGCAGAAUGCCUCGCUGUCAGAUGACAGAGCGUUACCUAAUGGUCGUAUCUGGGGAAGAGUCAAGCGGCCUGUCAUUCUCUUGACAGGACAAAUGAGCAUAAUGGUGGCAGGGAAAUGGGCGCCUGUUCCCCCCUUUUUUUUCUCUUUUUUCCCAACCAGGGAGGGAGGAAGGGAGGGAGGUAAAAUGGCAGCGCCUGAGCAGAAUAACACGAGGACGUUAACCUUUUACAUAAAUCUGUUAACACGUGUACGAGUGCUGUAAAAGUGAGGCUUGAUGCUCGGCGGCUGCAAGGUGGGACCAGACAUUUGUUUUCACUUUUUUUUUCUUUCCUGCUGCUCGAAUUUGUUGGUUUACAGUUUGAUUUUAUUGCUGCACCAAACAGGACUUCUGUCAUGUAAACUUACAGCUGUCCCAGAGCUGCAGAUGAAGUUAAAAAGCACAACAGCAUGAGGAUAACAUAACAUUGAUGGGACAUGUUAUUUUGAGGGCCAGGCAUCUGAUUUUUAGUAUUCUGGUGAAUUUAAUGCACCAAUUUGUGCCUUUUCUGCAUGCAUGUGGUGUUAUAUUUGCUCUUAUUAUGACUGGGAGGGGAAAUGCGUCUGCUCUAAAUAUUGAGGGCUUAGGUUCCAACAGAUGAUGCAGAAUUCAUUUGUUUUAAAACCAAAAAUGGGGAAAAAAAACUUUCAGUUGUUACACUCAAAAUGUCCAACACCAUCCUUUUUUGUGUUUAGGCAGUUGUAGAAGUUGAAAUGGAAUUUAGUUGGCUUUUUUGUGCAUCAUUUUUAAAUGAAAUAAACCAAAUGGAAUCGUGUGGUUGGUUGUUUUUUUGUUUUCAAGUUCAAAAAAUGUUUUAUUUUGUCGAAAUGUCUGGAUCACAGGAACAACUUUGCCAUUUUCUCUGCAUAUGGAGAGAUUUUGCACAUUUGAAUUCAUAUAAAUCUGUACAACUGUCCACCUGACUGAAUAACAGUAAAUUAUCUAAUUAUGGAGUUUCCACACAGCUCUGUAUUCAUAUACAAAUCAACCGAAACCCCAUUAACUUGGAUGAGAGCCUUUCAUAAAAGUCCUCCUCCUGUUUCGUUCUAGUUUAGAAAAAUUUAAUUCAUGUAUGUUGAACAAUUCACAAAGAAAGUGUGUAAAUGUAUAUUUACAGAGGAAGCAUGUUUAGCUAGCUAGCUUAAUGCAUAUUAUCUGGAUAGAGAAAACACAUCCUGCAGCAAAAUAUUUCACCAAAAUGACCUCCUGUCUUAGCUCUCGGCAUGUUUCAUUGUUUCUGUUUUAGUGGCAAUAGUCUUUCAUGCACUUAUUGUCCGAACUAAAUGGUUAAAAAAAAAAAAACGAUGCGAUGAUGUUUCUGGGCAUUCUUAGUGAAAUAAAUUUUGUUGUGUUAAACACCACAGAGCAUAGACUGAAUACUACAGGGAAUUUAAUCAAACUAUUGUAAUUUCAAGAGCUUUAAUUGUUGUUUUUCCUCACCUAAUGUCAUGUUUGUUAGGUUACCAAUGCAGUUGAAGAAAGGCACCACUGGGAUUCGAACCCAGGAUCUCCUGUUUAUUAAACAGGCACUUAGCCAACUAAGCCACGGCGCCACUGUAUUCCACCUUAAUGGUGGCGGUAGUGCAGCUCAAUCGCUACCACUGAUUCCAUGAGUACUUCAGAAACACACCAAACAGAACCCAGGAAUGUUUGAUGUCCAGAAAGCCUGGCAGGAUUUUCGUCCCGAAAGGUGUUUCUGUGAAUGAACCUCAAGUAGAAUCAAGUCAGGACGGAUCGGCCGGCGUGAGGACGAACGUAAUUGGACCGACAGGUGACACAUAUGUGGAAACCAGAAGAUGAUGGCGGAGACGACUCGGAUCAUGUGACCUGCACCUCACAUGCCUCCUCCAAGUACCCUCAACCCAGAGAACAGAAAUGCAACGAUGAAGCCGCCAAAUGAGAAUUCCUGCGUUCAUCUGCACAGCUGGAUCAUCCUCAAAUCAGACGUUUCACCCAGUUUGAUCUCCUCUUUCCUCAAGGUCUGACUGGGAAGAUUCAGUGAAAGUUUGGUUCAACAGCAUCAAAGAAUCUACUCAAGAGUUCAACGAUCUGACUUCAAAGAAUAAGAUUUAAUGGAUGCAUUUUGUUCCGUCACCAGGUUUUGGAGUUCAAGGUCGCCGUGCAGCUAUUUCCAGCUCGUCUUCGCUUUGAUCCGUGUCGCAAAAUGACAAGGUAACGCAACUCGAGGGGUCAGCUGUGUUACAGGAACGCUUCCACGGAUCGGCAGAGAGGAAAUCAAUCCUGCCUGACAGUGUCUUCAGGAUACUCCGACCUGACCGGACCGACGCACAAACACACAGCAAAUCAGCGAUGGAUCAGGAAGAAUUGUUCCAGUGUUUGUGAAGCUCUUCCAUCAUCUAGAAAUCAUUUGGACACACAAGUGUGAUGACACAGCGGUUGCUGUCAUGAGAAUUCAAGACCAACAGCCAAAUCAGAAAGAGAAGAUGGUUAUGCCCAUGCGUAGAAGCAUCUUCCAAAUCUACAUACAGUUAUUGCUGCUGCACAUCCUUGGGGAUCAUCAAAUGGUCAAUCUGGAUGCAAUGACACUGUCAAGUCAGUGCAGAUGUGCAGAGAGAAGAAACGGUCACUACUUCAGCAUCAGACACUCUCCAGCAUUGACAAUGUUUCAGAAAUGAAUUCAUUGUGAACUUUGAAGGAGCAGAAAGUUUACAGCUCCCAAAGAUAUGAGCUCCAGUUCUGGAUGUUUUAGGAAAUAAAAUUCAUCAAAUGUU